rnacentral:rRNA from 1 species
CNGAAGUUAAAGGCAGUGGCUCAACCNUUGUAGGCUUUGGAAACUGUUUAACUUGAGUGCAGAAGGGGAGAGUGGAAUUCCAUGUGUAGCGGUGAAAUGCGUAGAUAUAUGGAGGAACACCGGUGGCGAAAGCGGCUCUCUGGUCUGUAACUGACGCUGAGGCUCGAAAGCGUGGGGAGCGAACAGGAUUAGAUACCCUGGUAGUCCACGCCGUAAACGAUGAGUGCUAGGUGUUAGGUCCUUUCCGGGACUUAGUGCCGCAGCUAACGCAUUAAGCACUCCGCCUGGGGAGUACGACCGCAAGGUUGAAACUCAAAGGAAUUGACGGGGGCCCGCACAAGCGGUGGAGCAUGUGGUUUAAUUCGAAGCAACGCGAAGAACCUUACCAGGUCUUGACAUCCCGAUGCCCGCUCUAGAGAUAGAGCUUUACUUCGGUACAUCGGUGACAGGUGGUGCAUGGUUGUCGUCAGCUCGUGUCGUGAGAUGUUGGGUUAAGUCCCGCAACGAGCGCAACCCUUAUUGUUAGUUGCCAUCAUUCAGUUGGGCACUCUAGCGAGACUGCCGGUAAUAAACCGGAGGAAGGUGGGGAUGACGUCAAAUCAUCAUGCCCCUUAUGACCUGGGCUACACACGUGCUACAAUGGCUGGUACAACGAGUCGCAAGCCGGUGACGGCAAGCUAAUCUCUGAAAGCCAGUCUCAGUUCGGAUUGUAGGCUGCAACUCGCCUACAUGAAGUCGGAAUCGCUAGUAAUCGCGGAUCAGCGCGCCGCGGUGAAUACGUUCCCGGGCCUUGUACACACCGCCCGUCACACCACGAGAGUUUGUAACACCCGAAGUCGGUGAGGUAACCGUAAGGAGCCAGCC